CACCGGUGGCGAAAGCGGCUCUCUGGUCUGUAACUGACGCUGAGGCUCGAAAGCGUGGGGAGCGAACAGGAUUAGAUACCCUGGUAGUNCACGCCGUAAGCGAUGAGUGCUAGGUGUUAGGCCCUUUCCGGGGCUUAGUGCCGCAGCUAACGCAUUAAGCACUCCGCCUGGGGAGUACGACCGCAAGGUUGAAACUCAAAGGAAUUGACGGGGGCCCGCACAAGCGGUGGAGCAUGUGGUUUAAUUCGAAGCAACGCGAAGAACCUUACCAGGUCUUGACAUCCCGAUGCCCGCUCUAGAGAUAGAGUUUUACUUCGGUACAUCGGUGACAGGUGGUGCAUGGUUGUCGUCAGCUCGUGUCGUGAGAUGUUGGGUUAAGUCCCGCAACGAGCGCAACCCUUAUUGUUAGUUGCCAUCAUUCAGUUGGGCACUCUAGCGAGACUGCCGGUAAUAAACCGGAGGAAGGUGGGGAUGACGUCAAAUCAUCAUGCCCCUUAUGACCUGGGCUACACACGUGCUACAAUGGCUGGUACAACGAGUCGCAAGUCGGUGACGGCAAGCUAAUCUCUUAAAGCCAGUCUCAGUUCGGAUUGUAGGCUGCAACUCGCCUACAUGAAGUCGGAAUCGCUAGUAAUCGCGGAUCAGCACGCCGCGGUGAAUACGUUCCCGGGCCUUGUACACACCGCCCGUCACACCACGAGAGUUUGUAACACCCGAAGUCGGUGAGGUAACCUUUUAGGAGCCANCCGCC
rnacentral:rRNA from 1 species